rnacentral:rRNA from 1 species
UACAGAGGAUGCAAGCGUUAUCCGGAAUGAUUGGGCGUAAAGCGUCUGUAGGUGGCUUUUUAAGUCCGCCGUCAAAUCCCAGGGCUCAACUCUGGACAGGCGGUGGAAACUACCAAGCUGGAGUACGGUAGGGGCAGAGGGAAUUUCCGGUGGAGCGGUGAAAUGCGUAGAGAUCGGAAAGAACACCAACGGCGAAGGCGGCUUCCUGGCCUGUUCUUGACGCUGAGGCGCGAAAGCUAGGAGAGCAAACGGG